rnacentral:hammerhead_ribozyme from 1 species
AUCCAGUUGACGAGCCCCAAAUAAGACGAAACGCGACUCCUGGAU